rnacentral:rRNA from 1 species
AUUGAACGCUGGCGGCAUGCCUUACACAUGCAAGUCGAACGGUAGAGGAGCAAUCCUCGAGAGUGGCGAACGGGUGAGUAAUGCAUCGGAACGUGCCCAGUAAUGGGGGAUAGCCCGGCGAAAGCCGGAUUAAUACCGCAUACGACCUAAGGGUGAAAGAGGGGGACCGCAAGACCUCUCGUUAUUGUAGCGGCCGAUGUCAGAUUAGGUAGUUGGUGGGGUAAACGCCUACCAAGCCAACGAUCUGUAGCUGGUCUGAGAGGACGACCAGCCACACUGGGACUGAGACACGGCCCAGACUCCUACGGGAGGCAGCAGUGGGGAAUUUUGGACAAUGGGCGCAAGCCUGAUCCAGCCAUGCCGCGUGCGGGAAGAAGGCCUUCGGGUUGUAAACCGCUUUUGUCAGGGAAGAAAUCUUCUGGGUUAAUACCUCGGGAGGAUGACGGUACCUGAAGAAUAAGCACCGGCUAACUACGUGCCAGCAGCCGCGGUAA